rnacentral:rRNA from 1 species
AGCUCCAAUAGCGUAUACGGAUUUUGUUGUGGUUAAAAAGCUCGUAGUUGGAUCUCGGCGGGCCUGGUGCGGUUCGUUAUUUGACGCUACUGCACUUUUGGCCCGUGAAUUUUUGUUGGAAGUUUCAGGGUGCUCUUAAUCGGGUGUCCUGAGAUGCCAACAGGUUUACUUUGAAAAAAUUAGAGUGCUCCAAGCAGGCUUAGCAUGCCUGAAUAUUAGUGCAUGGAAUAAUGGAAUAGGACGUCGUUUCUAUUUUGUUGGUUUUGCGAAAUCGACGUAAUGAUUAAUAGGGACAGUCGGGGGCAUUAGUAUUCAGACGACAGAGGUGAAAUUCUUGGACCGUCUGAAGACUCACUACUGCGAAAGCAUUUGCCAAGAAUGUUUUCA